GCCUCGAUGGUGUAGUGGUAGAAUACGCAUCUCCGGUAUGGAUAAAACGCGGGUUCGAUUCCCGCCUGAGGCC